rnacentral:lncRNA from 1 species
AUGGAGGGUCAAUGCUAGCUGCCGAUGGAGGCCAACCCUGAGCUCACCAACCAGUUUCUCAAGCAAUGAGGCCUGCAUCCUAACUGGCAGUUUGUUGAUGUGUACGGGGUGGAGCCUGAACGUCUUAGCAUGGUACCAAGACCAGUGUGCACAGUGUUAGCCCUCUUCCCUAUCACAGAAAAGUAUGAAGUCUUCAAAACAGAAGAGGAAGAAA